rnacentral:rRNA from 1 species
AUUGAACGCUGGCGGCAGGCCUAACACAUGCAAGUCGAACGGUAACAGGAAGCAGCUUGCUGCUUUGCUGAUGAGUGGCGGACGGGUGAGUAAUGUCUGGGAAACUUCCUGAUGGAGGGGGAUAACUACUGGAAACGGUAGCUACUACCGCAUAACUUCUCAAGACCAAAGAGGGUGACCUUCCGGCCUCUUGCCCUCGUCUGUGCCCAGAUGGUCUUAGCUCUUAGGCGGUGUAACUGCUCACCUAGCCGACGAUCCCUCCCUAGUCUGCGAGGAUGACCAGCCACACUGGAACUGAGGCACGGACCAGACUCCUACGGGAGGCAGCAGUGGGGAAUAUUACACAAUGGGCGCAAGCCUGAUGCAGCCAUGCCGCGUGUAUGAAGAAGGCCUUCGGGUUGUAAAGUACUUUCAGGGGGGAGGAAGGGAGUAAAGUUAAUACCUUUGCUCAUUGACGGUACCCGCAGAAGAAGCACCGGCUAACUCCGUG